UUUAAAUCAAAACCACUUUGACCCCCUAAAAACAGGAUCGCUAAUAGGUUACAGCACUGAAAUCAGAAACCAAAAACUAUCAAAUCUUAUUACAACUUAAACUACAUUAUCAGUUAAACCUCGAUAAGAAGAGUAACUGAUAACCAAUAAAUAAAUCUAUUAUACAAUAAACUGAAAUAGAACAAUUCUAACCAAUACUAUUCUUGCAGACAUCUCAUUGGCAAUCUCGCCUAGCAUUACUUCUACGCGCAGCUUGACAAAAGAAUCAUCUUAAUACCUAGCUGAAAAGGUUAAAAGGAAUAGCAAGGGUGAGCAAUAAUGCUCAGCAAGUAUAUAAAAGAACGAUUCUAAUAAAUAAAAGGAGAAUGAAAUAUAUCCGAUUUUGUAUGUAACUUGCCAGGUAUUUUCAAUAAUACAGAACAACAGUCAUAUUUUCAAAGUAUGGCAAUCACAAGAGAAUAUAAUCAUUUAAAACUAUUCUGUGAAAAAUCAUUCGCUUACGGUGCGUUGUGCUGACACGGUGAUCAGCCGAGCAUCAAGCACCGGGCACAGGGCGCUACCUGUCCCAAAAACAAAGGGGCCCAAGGCACACAUUGGCCUUAAAUUAUAGUAACAUGUAACUCACGACCGGCACCACGGUCCAGCAAAUGAAUUCCGAUUGGUUAACAGUUUUAUAAAACCAAAAAGGUAUCCAACCUCUUUAAAUCCAAAACCUGCAUAGUAACCCUCUGUAUACCACAAUUUACUGUUAACCAAGUUUGAAAUCAUAUAUAGUUGGCUAUGCUCAACAUUCUUAAAAGAUAUAAUAUCAAAGAGAAUAUUGAACAAAAUAACCAAUUGCCACUAGGACAAAAAUAAGCCAUGGAAUAUGUUUACCAAUAAAGAACUCCAAAAAGUUUCAAAAUCAUUCUUGAGUAAAUAAAAGAAACUAAGAACUUUCUUUUAAAUAUAGAAGUUGAAUAAGAAUACUUGCCUUAACUCUGGUGUCUAACUCAUAUUUCUAAUAGUACUAUCUACUGAACUGUUCCCUUCUGCUUAGUUUCUGACAGACUUUAAUAAAAUAUCCAUAGCACAGCUUCACUUCAUUGGUUUAUGCCAGCCUCGCUCCACGAUACUAUUCACUAUUUCUGAACAUCCCAGUCGACUCUGUACGGCAGUAAGACAAUACUUCAAUCGUCGGAUCAAACGAAACUAAUUACUAAAUGCUAUUAGAAUCUGCAACUAACUACCCUUCGCAUAUCCAUAUAUAGUAAACAAAAAAAUAUAUAUAGACAUCCACAUAAUAAUAUAUAUACACUGGAUCAGUCAGACAAAUAACCACAUAAUCAAGAAACAUACAUAUUCCAUCCAACUAUAAUAUAAUGCUAUUAACUGUCAAAUAUCUAUUUAUAGACAGAAUAAACUUAAUUUCUAAAGAAAAUUUCGGCAUGAAGUAUUCGUAAAUAGGACUAUCUCCCUGUUUUCAAAUCAAUCAAAUCAAGCUCUUUACACUAAAUAAAAUACUAAUAUAAAGAAAAUCUGCCUCGACAUGCAGUAAAUCACAUAGGAAAAGUACCCGCCCCGACAUGCAGCACCUACACACAUAAUGAUAAAUAACCCGCCCAGACAUACGGCACCUAAACACAUAAUGAUUGAAAGAAACUAACAGUUUAUCUUUAAAACGGAAAGUAAUUCAAUAUUAAUACAUUAUACUAUCAAGAAUAACACUCUAACAUUUAACACGUAGCACUUAGCAGGUAUCACAUAUUUCCAUACAUUUACUUACCACUUACCAUAAUACUCAAUUUAGAUACUUAAACUUAUCAUAUAAUUGAAUUCAAAUAUCUUAUUGGAAAAUAUCUCAAAUACUAGGUUACAUAAUCACGUAGCCCACGUAGGCACUUAGCACGUAGCAUCUAUUUCCCUAACAAUGCUUAUUAUCACUUAGCAACCAUAUCAACAUAUUUCAACUAGAACACUUAUUAGGAAUUUUAUUCUAGAUGCAAGUCCCUAAAACAGAGCAUACUAUUCAAUUCAAUUUGCAAGUUGAAUUAAAUAAGCAUAGCAUUAUAACUAUUUAAGAUAUCACAUAUUUAUAUUAUUAAUAUUAUUAUUUACUAUUAUUACUACUAGUGAAAGUAAUAAUAAUAUUAAAGAAUAAUACUAAUAUAUAUUGAUAUUCGACAUCCUAAAAUCAAACACAGUUUCCCACAUUAACAUCAAUAAUACUGCUAUGUAUUACUGCUAUUACUACCAAAUCACAUAAAUAUUAUUUAUAGAUUUCAUAAAAAAUAUCACGAAUCAGUAACUACAUAAAUUCGAUUAAUAGCCAGAUAAUUAUAGGAUACGCUCCCGUAUAAUUAAAAAUCUAAAUUUUUAUUUGAAAAUCGGGCCGCACCUCCUUUAUUUAUCGGACUACCAGUCGAUAUCAUAUAUCGACACCAACAACCACAAUCAAGCCUGUAAUCAAUCCAAAUAACUUACUUUAUAACUACUAUCCGAAAUCGAUACUCAAUUAUAGCUACUAAUUAAACCCGAUAAUCAAUCAAAUAAACCAACAACCGAAAUAAUAAUUAAAAGCGUAUCAGGAAAUCCAUAUCAAGACUCGAGCCACCCGAAUAAAUUUUAUAGCUACACAUAAUCAGCACCCGGCCACUCCGGCCCCACACACACACUAAAACACAUGGGAAACACACACGAAACCCACACACACACAUCCCAGUACUCGAUUAUGCACGCACACACCCCUGAUACACUCACCCCAGCCCUGAUUACACACACUCGCGCAAUACAGAACACACACUCACACACCUGUUAUACACACACAAGCACAUAGACAUACACAAAACACACACACACCCAUCGCACUUAUACACACACACCAGUACACGCACGAAUUACACACACAAUAUAAUCACAGCCGCAAGAAAGGACAGAAAACGACGCAGGAAAAGGAAAAGGAAGGACAGGGGAGAGAGAUGGAGAGAAACCGAAGGGAGAGAGAGGCUG
rnacentral:lncRNA from 1 species